rnacentral:rRNA from 1 species
GACGAACGCUGGCGGCGUGCUUAACACAUGCAAGUCGAACGGAAAGGCCCUGCUUGCAGGGUGCUCGAGUGGCGAACGGGUGAGUAACACGUGGGUGAUCUGCCCCUUACUUUGGGAUAAGCCUGGGAAACUGGGUCUAAUACUGGAUAGGACCAUGCUGUAGGUGGUGUGGUGGAAAGAUUAGUUUCGGUAAGGGAUGAGCUCGCGGCCUAUCAGCUUGUUGGUGGGGUAAUGGCCUACCAAGGCGUCGACGGGUAGCCGGCCUGAGAGGGUGGACGGCCACAUUGGGACUGAGAUACGGCCCAGACUCCUACGGGAGGCAGCAGUGGGGAAUAUUGCACAAUGGGCGCAAGCCUGAUGCAGCGACGCCGCGUGGGGGAUGACGGCCUUCGGGUUGUAAACUCCGUUCAGCCAUGACGAAGCCCUUGUGGUGACGGUAGUGGUAGAAGAAGCACCGGCUAACUACGUG